rnacentral:rRNA from 1 species
AUUGAACGCUGGCGGCAGGCCUAACACAUGCAAGUCGAGCGGUAGCACAGAGAGCUUGCUCUCGGGUGACGAGCGGCGGACGGGUGAGUAAUGUCUGGGAAACUGCCUGAUGGAGGGGGAUAACUACUGGAAACGGUAGCUAAUACCGCAUAACGUCGCAAGACCAAAGAGGGGGACCUUCGGGCCUCUUGCCAUCGGAUGUGCCCAGAUGGGAUUAGCUAGUAGGUGGGGUAACGGCUCACCUAGGCGACGAUCCCUAGCUGGUCUGAGAGGAUGACCAGCCACACUGGAACUGAGACACGGUCCAGACUCCUACGGGAGGCAGCAGUGGGGAAUAUUGCACAAUGGGCGCAAGCCUGAUGCAGCCAUGUCGCGUGUAUGAAGAAGGCCUUCGGGUUGUAAAGUACUUCCAGCGGGGAGGAAGGGAGUAAAGUUAAUACCUUUGCUCAUUGACGUUACCCGCAGAAGAAGCACCGGCUAACUCCGUGCCAGCCGCCGCCGUAA